UAUGACCACAUCAUGUUGAAACAACAGUUCUCAUAUGAUCACCAAAGUUAAGCACUGUCAAGCCUAGUCAGUACUUAGAUGGAUGACAGCUCGGGAAUACCAGGUGCUGUAAGC